CUGUUUAUGAAAGUAUAGGCUAUGUGAUCUUCAGCCACCGCAAAGUAACCAAAUCACUAGCUCGGACCCCUUGAUUCAUUGGUGUUAUUACUACUGUCAUCCAAAUUAUGUCCUUCAAUCGUACAACCAUCCAAGUCUGCCAAUUCAGGUGGCGUGCUGGCCUCACUAGAAGGAGGCUUUUCCUCACUCUUCUGUAGCCCCAAUUCAGGUGGCGUGCUGGCCUCACCAGAAGGAGGCUUUUCCUCACUCUUCUGUAGCCACGAUUCAGGUGGCGUGCUGGCCUCACCAGGAGGCUUUUCCUCACUCUUCUGUAGCCCAGUGUACCGUGCAAGAUCAACCCAUUGCUGCAGCAAAAAGAAUAUGCAGUGAGUAGAAUGGAAAAAAACACUGUUAUGUGGUAG
rnacentral:lncRNA from 1 species